ACGCGAAGACGACGCCGGCUGCGCUGGGGGGCCGUAGGGAGGGAGGCUGCGGACCAGAGCGGGGAGGAGUUUGCGAGGGGAGGCGCUUGGGAGGACUCCCCCAGUUCUGUUAAGAGCUGGGCACAAAGAGCCCUUUGCACUCCAGCCGCAGGAGCGAGGAGGAGCCGAGACCUGGGGCGUCCAGCGCAGCCUCAAACCCAGGGCAUCUCUGCACUCUCAUCGCGACGUCGCUCUGGAUGCUGUUUGCAUAUCCUUGGGGAGUCACUGCUUUGGCACAACAGUCCUGCGAGGUGCUGGAAUUCCGUCUGUUCUCAUCACACGGACAUGGCUGAUCGGUCUCAGUGGUACCUGGGGGCAAAGCAGGGAGCCGGGCGGUGGAGGCCAACAUUGUUACCAAGUUGGCUCUGUCUCAACACAGGGACUGAGCCUUCUGAGCCUCAAGAGUUCCUGCUGGUUCCCAGGUGGCAGAAGAGUGGAGAGAUUUGGGAAAGGUCACGACUAGCCUGCAAAGCAGCCUUUCAGAUAAGUAUCAUUUCACCAGCCUGCCUGCUCUCUGCUGGUGCGUGUGAGAAAGGGUCAGCUCUGGAAUUCCCAACGGGAGGGAGGAUGGCCGUCCUGUGA
rnacentral:lncRNA from 1 species